GGUUAAGCGACUAAGCGUACACGGUGGAUGCCCUGGCAGUCAGAGGCGAUGAAGGACGUGCUAAUCUGCGAUAAGCGUCGGUAAGGUGAUAUGAACCGUUAUAACCGGCGAUUUCCGAAUGGGGAAACCCAGUGUGAUUCGUCACACUAUCAUUAACUGAAUCCAUAGGUUAAUGAGGCGAACCGGGGGAACUGAAACAUCUAAGUACCCCGAGGAAAAGAAAUCAACCGAGAUUCCCCCAGUAGCGGCGAGCGAACGGGGAGCAGCCCAGAGCCUGAAUCAGUGUGUGUGUUAGUGGAAGCGUCUGGAAAGGCGUGCGAUACAGGGUGACAGCCCCGUACACAAAAAUGCACAUACUGUGAGCUCGAUGAGUAGGGCGGGACACGUGGUAUCCUGUCUGAAUAUGGGGGGACCAUCCUCCAAGGCUAAAUACUCCUGACUGACCGAUAGUGAACCAGUACCGUGAGGGAAAGGCGAAAAGAACCCCGGCGAGGGGAGUGAAAAAGAACCUGAAACCGUGUACGUACAAGCAGUGGGAGCACGCUUAGGCGUGUGACUGCGUACCUUUUGUAUAAUGGGUCAGCGACUUAUAUUCUGUAGCAAGGUUAACCGAAUAGGGGAGCCGAAGGGAAACCGAGUCUUAACUGGGCGUUAAGUUGCAGGGUAUAGACCCGAAACCCGGUGAUCUAGCCAUGGGCAGGUUGAAGGUUGGGUAACACUAACUGGAGGACCGAACCGACUAAUGUUGAAAAAUUAGCGGAUGACUUGUGGCUGGGGGUGAAAGGCCAAUCAAACCGGGAGAUAGCUGGUUCUCCCCGAAAGCUAUUUAGGUAGCGCCUCGUGAAUUCAUCUCCGGGGGUAGAGCACUGUUUCGGCAAGGGGGUCAUCCCGACUUACCAACCCGAUGCAAACUGCGAAUACCGGAGAAUGUUAUCACGGGAGACACACGGCGGGUGCUAACGUCCGUCGUGAAGAGGGAAACAACCCAGACCGCCAGCUAAGGUCCCAAAGUCAUGGUUAAGUGGGAAACGAUGUGGGAAGGCCCAGACAGCCAGGAUGUUGGCUUAGAAGCAGCCAUCAUUUAAAGAAAGCGUAAUAGCUCACUGGUCGAGUCGGCCUGCGCGGAAGAUGUAACGGGGCUAAACCAUGCACCGAAGCUGCGGCAGCGACGCUUAUGCGUUGUUGGGUAGGGGAGCGUUCUGUAAGCCUGUGAAGGUGUGCUGUGAGGUAUGCUGGAGGUAUCAGAAGUGCGAAUGCUGACAUAAGUAACGAUAAAGCGGGUGAAAAGCCCGCUCGCCGGAAGACCAAGGGUUCCUGUCCAACGUUAAUCGGGGCAGGGUGAGUCGACCCCUAAGGCGAGGCCGAAAGGCGUAGUCGAUGGGAAACAGGUUAAUAUUCCUGUACUUGGUGUUACUGCGAAGGGGGGACGGAGAAGGCUAUGUUGGCCGGGCGACGGUUGUCCCGGUUUAAGCGUGUAGGCUGGUUUUCCAGGCAAAUCCGGAAAAUCAAGGCCGAGGCGUGAUGACGAGGCACUACGGUGCUGAAGCAACAAAUGCCCUGCUUCCAGGAAAAGCCUCUAAGCAUCAGGUAACAUCAAAUCGUACCCCAAACCGACACAGGUGGUCAGGUAGAGAAUACCAAGGCGCUUGAGAGAACUCGGGUGAAGGAACUAGGCAAAAUGGUGCCGUAACUUCGGGAGAAGGCACGCUGAUACGUAGGUGAAGCGACUUGCUCGUGGAGCUGAAAUCAGUCGAAGAUACCAGCUGGCUGCAACUGUUUAUUAAAAACACAGCACUGUGCAAACACGAAAGUGGACGUAUACGGUGUGACGCCUGCCCGGUGCCGGAAGGUUAAUUGAUGGGGUUAGCGCAAGCGAAGCUCUUGAUCGAAGCCCCGGUAAACGGCGGCCGUAACUAUAACGGUCCUAAGGUAGCGAAAUUCCUUGUCGGGUAAGUUCCGACCUGCACGAAUGGCGUAAUGAUGGCCAGGCUGUCUCCACCCGAGACUCAGUGAAAUUGAACUCGCUGUGAAGAUGCAGUGUACCCGCGGCAAGACGGAAAGACCCCGUGAACCUUUACUAUAGCUUGACACUGAACAUUGAGCCUUGAUGUGUAGGAUAGGUGGGAGGCUUUGAAGUGUGGACGCCAGUCUGCAUGGAGCCGACCUUGAAAUACCACCCUUUAAUGUUUGAUGUUCUAACGUGGACCCGUGAUCCGGGUUGCGGACAGUGUCUGGUGGGUAGUUUGACUGGGGCGGUCUCCUCCUAAAGAGUAACGGAGGAGCACGAAGGUUGGCUAAUCCUGGUCGGACAUCAGGAGGUUAGUGCAAUGGCAUAAGCCAGCUUGACUGCGAGCGUGACGGCGCGAGCAGGUGCGAAAGCAGGUCAUAGUGAUCCGGUGGUUCUGAAUGGAAGGGCCAUCGCUCAACGGAUAAAAGGUACUCCGGGGAUAACAGGCUGAUACCGCCCAAGAGUUCAUAUCGACGGCGGUGUUUGGCACCUCGAUGUCGGCUCAUCACAUCCUGGGGCUGAAGUAGGUCCCAAGGGUAUGGCUGUUCGCCAUUUAAAGUGGUACGCGAGCUGGGUUUAGAACGUCGUGAGACAGUUCGGUCCCUAUCUGCCGUGGGCGCUGGAGAACUGAGGGGGGCUGCUCCUAGUACGAGAGGACCGGAGUGGACGCAUCACUGGUGUUCGGGUUGUCAUGCCAAUGGCACUGCCCGGUAGCUAAAUGCGGAAGAGAUAAGUGCUGAAAG
rnacentral:rRNA from 1 species